AGCGAACGCUGGCGGCAGGCUUAACACAUGCAAGUCGAACGGGCAUCUUCGGAUGUCAGUGGCAGACGGGUGAGUAACACGUGGGAACGUACCCUUCGGUUCGGAAUAACUCAGGGAAACUUGAGCUAAUACCGGAUACGCCCUUUUGGGGAAAGGUUUACUGCCGAAGGAUCGGCCCGCGUCUGAUUAGCUUGUUGGUGGGGUAACGGCCUACCAAGGCGACGAUCAGUAGCUGGUCUGAGAGGAUGAUCAGCCACACUGGGACUGAGACACGGCCCAGACUCCUACGGGAGGCAGCAGUGGGGAAUAUUGGACAAUGGACGCAAGCCUGAUCCAGCCAUGCCGCGUGAGUGAUGAAGGCCUUAGGGUUGUAAAGCUCUUUUGUCCGGGACGAUAAUGACGGUACCGGAAGAAUAAGCCCCGGCUAACUUCGUG
rnacentral:rRNA from 1 species